rnacentral:rRNA from 1 species
GGAGGGUGCGAGCGUUGUUCGGAAUCAUUGGGCGUAAAGCGCGUGUAGGCGGCUUGGUCAGUCGGGUGUGAAAGCCCGGGGCCCAACCCCGGAAAUGCACUCGAAACUGCCUCGCUAGAGUCCCGGAGAGGAAGGCGGAAUUCCCGGUGUAGAGGUGAAAUUCGUAGAUAUCGGGAGGAACACCAGCGGCGAAGGCGGCCUUCUGGACGGUGACUGACGCUGAGACGCGAAAGCGUGGGGAGCAAACAGGAUUAGAUACCCUGGUAGUCCACGCCGUAAACGUUGGGUGCUAGGUGUCGCGGGUAUUGACCCCCCUGCGGUGCCGUCGCUAACGCAUUAAGCACCCCGCCUGGGGAGUACGGUCGCAAGGCUA